AACGAGGCCGACCUGCGGCUGAGUUACCUGCGGAAGGAUCAUUACAGAGAAAUUGCCCUUUGGGGUAGAUCUCCCACCCUAUGUUUACAUUACGUUUGUUGCUUUGGCAGGCCCGUCUUUUGACCACUGGCUUCGGCUGGUCAGUGUCUGCCAGAGGACCCCUAAACUCUUGAUAUUUUGUUGUCUGAGUAAAUAUAUAAUAGUUAAAACUUUCAACAAUGGAUCUCAGAUCGGAAGAGC
rnacentral:misc_RNA from 1 species